ensembl:misc_RNA Y_RNA Y RNA
AGUUGGUCCGAAGGUUGUGGGUUAUUGUUAAAAUGAUUAACAUUGUCUCCCUCCACACCAGUGCUUGACUAACUGGGGGGAUAUA